AUUGAACGCUGGCGGCAUGCCUUACACAUGCAAGUCGAACGCGAAAGGGGGGCAACUCCUGAGUAGAGUGGCGCACGGGUGAGUAAUGCAUCGGAACGUGUCCUGUAGCGGGGGAUAACCUAGCGAAAGCUAGGCUAAUACCGCAUACGUCCUACGGGAGAAAGUGGGGGAUCGUAAGACCUCACACUAUAGGAGCGGCCGAUGCCGGAUUAGCUAGUUGGUGGGGUAAAAGCCUACCAAGGCGACGAUCCGUAGCUGGUCUGAGAGGAUGAUCAGCACAACUGGGACUGAGACACGGCCCAGACUCCUACGGGAGGCAGCAGUGGGGAAUUUUGGACAAUGGGGGAAACCCUGAUCCAGCCAUGCCGCGUGAGUGAAGAAGGCCUUCGGGUUGUAAAGCUCUUUCGGCCGGGACGAAAUCGCACGCGUGAAUAUCGCGUGUGGAUGACGGUACCGGAAGGAGAAGGACCGGCUAACUACGUGCCAGCAGCCGCCGUAA
rnacentral:rRNA from 1 species